rnacentral:rRNA from 1 species
AUUGAACGCUGGCGGCAUGCUUUACACAUGCAAGUCGAACGGCAGCGCGGGCUUCGGCCUGGCGGCGAGUGGCGAACGGGUGAGUAAUGCAUCGGAACGUGCCCAGUAGUGGGGGAUAGCCCGGCGAAAGCCGGAUUAAUACCGCAUACGACCUGAGGGUGAAAGCGGGGGGCCGAAAGGCCGCGCGCCAUUGGAGCGGCCGAUGUCGGAUGAGCUAGUUGGUGGGGUAAAGGCUUACCAAGGCGAAGAUCCUUAGCUGGUCUGAGGGGACGACCCGCCACCCUGUGAGUGAGGCACGGCCCAGACUCCUACGGUGGGCAGCGGUGGGGACUUUUGGACAAUGGGGCCAUCCCUGAUCCAGCCAUGCCGCGGGCGGGAAGAAGCCCUUCGGGUUGUAAACCGCUUUUGUUCGGGAGGUAAUCCUCUGCGCUAAUCCCCCGGGGGAAUGACGGUACCGGAAGAAUAAGCACCGGCUAACUCCGUG